GAAUUUUUCUAGAAUGAUAGCUCACCAUUGAGUUCCCACAGGGCUUCUAAGAGUUCCAGAAUUUUCAGGAGUAAUAAUAUUCUACCUUGCAACACUAGAAUGUCUAUGCAUGCUAUAUUCAGAAGCUAAACAUCACCUCAUAACACAGAGUCCACAUUCAAGAAUCAUAAUCCAUCAUUAACUUCCAUCAGAAUGCCUCCGCCUGCGUAAAAUGUUUAAAGUAGGAGCUAUGGAAGAUGCUGUGUGUCAAAUGGACCGACUUUUCUUUAAGCUACUGGAUGGCGUUUGGUUGAGGAACCUGUACAAGUUGGAGAUGACAACCCCAUCACCUACAUUGUAUGCUUUGCCCAUGCAAGAUGAGUAUUAAUCAAAAGACCAAAUCAGUGCCUGAUGUACACCUUUUUAUAUGUUCCAAGGUUUAAAAUGGAUAGGGAGAAAAAAAUCAAAAGAACAAUAUUUCACAUCUAUGAACAAAUUAAUAGAAAGUGUUUUAUUUAAACGUUCAGAAAAAUAUACAUAUUAGACAUAAGUAAAUAUCAAGAGAUUGUUGUGCAAGUUCCGCAGGGGCCACACACCAGACUGGUUAGACUGGAAUUCUGCCCGAGCGACCUGCCGGCCUCUCGUGCCCCAUAUGGUGCAGUGUAGUGGUUUGUGAAGAUAUUUUGUUUGAGGAUUCAGUCCAGGAGCUAGUCUAAUUUCACUUGUCUCUGGUUUGGAGCCUGGGUAUUUGUGUCACUUCAGGAAGUUCUCGGUGAAACUCUUAAUUAUUCAGGAUAAUAUCUGAAUUUGCACAAACCCAUGGGAAAUGAUACGUGAGAAAAGGAAGCACCAGAGAAAACCAAAGACCAUCAGUCGAAAC
rnacentral:lncRNA from 1 species